GGUUCUGGUGGAGAUUUAUGGGCAUCCAAGUGGAUUUUAAAGAAGGGAUCAUGUUGGCGGCCCUGGGCCUAUAAAAAUUACUUGAUGGCCGAUUCUGAAAGAUGGCGGAUCGAAGCAGAAUGAAAUGAUCGUAUUAGGGUGGUUCCGGAUUUUAAG